rnacentral:rRNA from 1 species
GACAGAGGUGCCGAGCGUUAGGCGGAAUCACUGGGCUUAAAGCGUGUGUAGGCGGACUUCUAAGUACCUUGUGAAAUCCCACGGCUCAACCGUGGAACUGCUUGGUAUACUGGUUGUCUUGAGCCACUUAGGGGCAGUCGGAACAGACGGUGGAGCGGUGAAAUGCGUAGAGAUCCGGAGGAACACCAGUGGCGAAGGCGGCUUUCUGGGCAGUUGCUGACACUGAGGCGCGACAGCGUGGGGAGCAAACAGG